rnacentral:rRNA from 1 species
UACGUAGGGUGCAAGCGUUAAUCGGAAUUACGGGGCGUAAAGCGUGCGCAGGCGGUUUUUUAAGUCCGUCGUGAAAACCCCGGGCUCAACCUGGGAAUUGCGAUGGAGACUGCAAGGCUUGAAUCUGGCAGAGGGGGGUAGAAUUCCACGUGUAGCAGUGAAAUGCGUAGAGAUGUGGAGGAACCCCGAUGGCGAAGGCAGCCCCCUGGGUCAAGAUUGACGCUCAUGCACGAAAGCGUGGGGAGCAAACAGG